CUAGAGAUUCGUAGGUGAACCUGCGGAAGGAUCAUUGCUGGAACGC
rnacentral:rRNA from 1 species